CGUAGGUGGCAAGCGUUGUCCGGAGUUACUGGGUGUAAAGGGCGUGUAGGCGGGAAGAUAAGUCAGAUGUGAAAUUCCAUGGCUCAACUGUGGCGCUGCAUCUGAAACUAUUUUUCUUGAGUGAUGGAGAGGAAAGCGGAAUUCCUAGUGUAGCGGUGAAAUGCGUAGAUAUUAGGAGGAACACCAGUGGCGAAGGCGGCUUUCUGGACAUUAACUGACGCUGAGGCGCGAAAGCGUGGGGAGCAAACAGGAUUAGAUACCCUGGUAGUCCACGCUGUAAACGAUGGAUACUAGGUGUAGGAGGUAUCGACCUCUUCUGUGCCGGAGUUAACACAAUAAGUAUCCCACCUGGGGAGUACGGCCGCAAGGUUG
rnacentral:rRNA from 1 species